ensembl:lncRNA
GAGAAAACAACUGUCUGUGCAGAGAAAUAUGGCAGCAGAGAUACUGGAGACAUGUUAUCUGCUUUUGUUAACGACCCUCCGGAGUCAGUUCUACCUCAAGUGUCCUCCUGCCCUGCGACACUCGGGACGAUGGAAGGAGACAAGCUCAGUCAAGAUGCAGAGGAAAGCCUCGUGGUCUGAUCAAGGCAUGGAGGGGCUGGAGUUCCCGCCAUAGAGACGGGCAGUGGGCCUCCCGCAGGAGAGGCAGCGGCCGGGCUGCUCUAUGACGUCUCGCCAGCGCGCGGGAGCAGGCGGAGUUCUGGCGGGCUGGCUACGCGGCUCACGGGUGCAGCUCACGGCGCAGGCGCAGCGCCUCAGCGCCCAGGCCCGCCGCCAUCUUGGGUGGAGCACCGAGCGCCGCGCCUCUGCGCACGGCCCCAGGCUGAGGGGCCGGGGCCGCCAUUUUGAGGCGGGAACUCUGGUCUCAGUGGCCGGGUUCACGGCCUCUGCGUGCAGCCGCCUGUGAGCCAGUGACACCAGAGGAAGCACAAAGGGAUGACGAAAAAGAUUCACUCCUCUCGGAUCAGUCCUCCACACAGAUGCUCGGCCAUUCUAGAAGGGCAGUUGGACCAUGACCUUUCUUCCUGUUUGAAACACUUUGACUGCUCUCGGUGGUAGUGGAGCACAACCCAGCGUCCUCAACACAUCAUGCAAGACCUGGCCCCGUGCCCCACCUGAAAUCACUUGGAGCUGUUUCAUACCCUAUGACUGCAAACCCCGACCCCUUAGCCUGGUGUGCCCACCGCUUGGUCUGUCACGUUCCCGUGCAUCCUUCUAGGACCAGCACAGAUAAUUCCUGCUCUCUGAAACUUUCUCUAGUCCUUCGCUCCCCAAACAGGGACAGCCGGUUGCCUCCCCUAAUACCUGUCCUCUAUUAGAGCAUUUACCAUACCUUUUACAAUCUCUUGUGACAUGGCAGCCUCCCACGCUAGGUGAUGAGUUCAUUUCUGUGCCCCCAGAUCGAGACAGGCUCUGUCCUUGGUGGAUAAUAAAUACUUGGUGACGGAUCAGUGAGUUCUCUUCUAGAACCUACUCCCUAGCACAUUCGUGGAAAUACAUCUCAAUAGGUGUUUAGCAAAAUAAAUUGAAGCUUCUUUACUCUCAGUAGGGUGCAUCUGUUGGCUUCGUCUGUCCCACAUCUACUCCUCAUCAUCCUGGUGCUAGAAUGAUGAAUUUUUCAGGAAACUAUCUCUCCCGUGGUCUCUGCCGCCUCUCCCUUGUCUUCCCAGCUCAUGAAAGCUGACUGUCAAAUUGUUAGCAACCUGCGAAGUUAUUGGAGAUUGUGCAGAUGAGCUUAUCAACAAAGCAGGUGUGGAUCCAUGGAACACCUGAAGAGAUCAAACUCAAAGCCGUGGUGAACUGCAGCUGUGACUCUCCGUGGUUACCCACUUGGCUCUCUGGGUACAGUGUUCAUGCGUUUCUGCUUGCCACCACCUGCCCCAGAGUUAAACUCGGAUGAUGCAACUGGCCAGUCCUCGGAGAUUCCUCUAGCCCAGAAUUUCUCCCCCUCAGAAUUCCUGAUGUUUUGAGCAGAUGAAUAUUCAUCAUGGCAGGCGCCAUGGGCAUUGAAGGACCUUCAGCUGCAUUCCUGCUCUCUCCCGGUCCACACAGUGAGAUAGCACACGUCUCUCCCUGAGCUGUCAAGACCAGAACAGCUCUAAGCACUGCCAAAUGUGCCCUGGGCAGGGGCAAAAUCACUGUCAGUUGAAAACCACUGUUCUAAUCCUUGCUGAAUAUUAGAAUUACCCUUGAUGCCAUCCCAAUGGAAUCAGAAUCUUUGGGCACGGACCCCAGGUGCCAGCAUUGGAAAAGCUACCCAGGGGUUUUAAACCAUAGCCCAGGUUGAGAAUUUCCAUCCUAAAGCAACUGGUCUAAUAUUGCUAUAGAGCUUCUUAAAGUCCUUCUCAGAUAUUUUUAUAACCGGGCCCUCCACUUAGCAACACAUGAGCAGCUACUACGCAGAAACAAUAUUAGCUAUAAUGUCAAGUACCAUCUCAUGGAAUUUGCAAUUUAAUGAGGUCAUGAGAGUGCGAGGGAAAUAAAUUGUUUUUCAUGUGUGAGUACGUAUGGAAAAAUACCUAGAAAAAAGACCUAAAAGAAAUGAGAAAUGAGUGCUGAUCUGUGGAAGGAGGGCAGGGGAGUUAAUAGACAGGUGGGACCUGGGGAGCUCAUCAGGGGUGAAGAGCCACACGACCUUUGAGAGGACAGGAGAGGGGUAGGGCAUUGUGAUUUUUUGAAGAGCCCAGUAUAUUUUUUAAUGAAGAGGAUUAUGAAUGCUACAGUAUAUGUUCAGCACUGAUCUUUUUUAAAUACCAGCUUUAUUAUAACACACACACCAUAAAAUUCACCAUUUCAAAGUGUACAAUCCAGUGAUUUUUAGUAUAUACACAGAAUUAUGCAAUCGACACCACUAUCAAAUUUCAAAAUAUCUUCAUCACCUUAAAAACAAACCCCAUACUCAUUAGUAGUCACCCUCCAUUUACUGCAACCACCCCAGCCCCUGGCAACCAGUAAUCUGCUUUCCGUCGUAGAUUUGCCAAUUCUGGACAUUCUGCAUCAACAGAUUCCUGUAAUAUAUGGCCAUUUGUGUCCAGCUACCUAGACAGCAUCUGAAAGCAAAGCAAAAUGAAAGGGAAAACAAAAUCUCCCUCCCAAGAGGCAGUUUAGCCUAGAGCCCAAAAGGUAGGCUUUGGCACCGGACAAAAUUUCAAAUUAAAUCAAGUCCUAACCCUCUAGCUGUUUGAUCUCAAGCAGACACCAUUGGUCGACCCCCCAACACCCUUCUCAAUGUCCAACUCUCACCAUAGAGACUGGAAAGUCUAAGUAGCAUUGUCCCAGGUCCUCCACAGUUUUGCCAAUGGAAAGUCUCAGAUAGCUCCUAGGAAGGAUAUUUCCUUCCACGGUUAGAGACGUACUGGAGGAAAACAUCGUGUCAUUUGUCCUCUCCUUCCUUCCUUCCUUCAAAGGAUGUGUGAAGGCAGGAAGCUCGGACACACGGCUGCCAUGCUGUGUCCAUGAGGGAAAGGCUGAGAAGAUCCAGAAAUGCCAGCCUAGAUUCUGAUUCUGUUGCUACAGAUCCGGUAGCAGCAACUGUCUUCUCAGUGAUUAGUUAUGCCUGGAAAAUAAGCCUUUGUAUGUCAAAGCUACUGUUACUUGGGUUUUGGUUACUGGAAGCAUCAAAUUACUGCAACAGGAAGUUACUUCACUUCUGUGCACAAGUUCACACAUUGGGGCAGAGCUCCCUCGCCUUUAUCUCAAGAACCCGCUACCAUUUGUUGAAAAUUGGUUUCUUUUUGGGAGUGUGUCUUCUUCAGGGAAGCUCAUGGGAUUUGCAUCUUGUUCUCCUUUUGCUAAGAUAUGAGCCUGUUAGUCAACCUACACUCAUCAGAAACCCCUCCCUGAAAUUUGGUUUCUGAGAUGGAAAGUUAUCAGAAUCCGUUCUUCCCAGUGGAAGCUCAGCGACUAAUGAGUCUGUUCCCAGCACAGGGCUGAUCCUGUAUUUAUCCAUGCAUGCCUCCAUCCAUUCCUUCUAAAAAUGUAUUUAUUGAGCGCCUAAUAUGUGGCUUCUCCGGUGGCUCAGCUGGUAAAGAACCUAUCUGCCAAUGCAAGAGACGCAAGAGACAUGGGUUCGAUCCCUGGGUCAGAAGGAUCUCCUGAAGGAGGAAAUGGCAACCCACUCCAGUAUUCUUGCCUGGAAAAUCCCAUGGACAGAGAAGCCUGGCACUCUGCAGUCCCUGGGGUCUCAAAGAGUUGGAUACGACAGAGUACACACACACGCAAUUUAAUAGGUGCCAGUGUGAGGACAUGGAAUUGAAAAAAUGAGACAAAUUUAAGUAGUUUAUAUCCUAAAUAGCUGGUGAAAAGUGAAGUCACUCAGUCAUGUCCAACUCUUUGUGACCCCAUGGACUGUAGCCAACCAGGCUACUCCAUCCACGGAAUUUUCCGGGCAAGAGUACUGGAGUGCGUUACCAUUUCCUUCUCCAGGGGAUCUUCCUGACCCAGGGAUCAAACCCGGGACUCCCACAUUGCAGGCAGACGCUAUACCAUCUGAGCCGCCAGGGAAGCCCCAAGUAGCUUAUGUCCUAGGACUAUAAACACAUCCCUGUCUUAUAUAACAUGAGGUGGUGAUGAGGCUGUGAAGAAAAAGUAGACUGAAGGGGAUAGAUUGUGAGAGAGAUGGGGAAAAGGUGACUUCUAUUUUGGAGGGUGAUCAGAGAAGGCCUCACUAAGGAAACUGUUUGAACAGAGAAGCUCUGGCAAAAGUGUUCCUGGCAGAAGGUAGAGCAAGUGCCAAGGCCCUGAGGCAGGAGCCUGCUGACUAUAUCUGAGAAACAGGAAGGAGGAAGUCAGCGUGGCUGGAGCAGAAGAAUGGAAUGGAGAUGCGAUUGAUGAGCAGGCAAGGGGAGAGCCAGGACCCAGAUCAAAUGGAUCAAGCCACUCACCGAAACAUGAGCAAACCGCUUCAACUUAAUCCCUCUGGCUGCUGGAUGGCGUAGCCUGAGCGGGGAAGGCAGGGAGGGCCAGCAAGGAGGCGAUGGCGGUAUUUCCGGCGAGAAAUGAUGGUGCCUAGGAUCAAGGUUGUACCCAUGGGGUGAACGGGAAGUAAUCAGAUACCAUGCCUAUUUAGAAGGUAGAGCUAACCAGGGUUUGGUAACUGGAUGUGAAGCGUGAGAAAAAUGGGAGAGGCGAGGACAGUUCCACCCUGAUGGGCUGAGGAGCCAUUUGCCGAGGGGGAGGACCACAGGAAGGACCAGAUUUUCGGUAGGCAGGGUGAUGACAGACAUGACGAGGAGGUCGUUACUGUGGGCCUCCUGGGGCUUCCUCGUGGAAAGUCUAGUCCCUCCGCUUUCCCACCAUUCAGAGCUUCCAGCAUCCUUCCAGUGAUUUGGCUGAAAUUAACCAGAGUUCGCUUCUAUUAGUUGACACUAAAACCCCUUAACUGAUAUAAGGGGCUCCCUUGGCCCUUGAGUGUUAGCACAGGAAACUAAACCCCAUUCUGACUGUGGGAACAUGUGUUCCGAGCAACAGCUAACAAAUUCACAAAUGAACUUUCGGACGCCACCCACUUCUCAGCAGGAGGCUGACUUCCUCUCCCAGUGUCUCUCCUCAGAGAGACAGCUUCUGCCAGUACAAGGUGGGGAAGUGUCAAAUACUAUUAAAACCUGAUUGCUAAUUCAAAUGCGAUUGCGCUUGAUAUGCUUGUCAUGUAAAAGUGUGCAGUGUAGCUUAAUAAAAUUGAUAGAACCCCCUUUGAAGAUAUUUUUGUCACAGAGGCACUUAAUAAGACUGUUUCCAUGAGGCUUCUCUGCCUCUUCAAUAUUUUCCUAGUGACACAUGUGAGUGAACUAGUCCAGAACCUAGCAAGGCAUGUUUCCCAAAGAAUGUUGGAGGGGAAGGGGGAGUACUCAGAGUCCUCCUCCUUCUUUCUUUUCGUUAGGAAGUUCUCUACCAACUGCCCGAUGAUACGGUUCAUCUGGUCACUGGGAAACCAAAUCAAAGCUGUUUUGCUUCAGAAUCAGACGCGAUGAAUAAAUAAUCCACAGAGGUUGCUGUCACUAACUCAAAAAUAGCUAAUUAUAAACACCAAGUCCAAAAAUUAAUCUGUUCAAGGAAAUGUUUCUUUUCUUCCUGCCAACGUCCAACAAGUGUUUUCAGCCUGGGACCCAAGAGAACCACAGAUUCCCAUUCACUAGGAAGAUGGUGGGACUUGACCCCCAUCUUUGUUUUUCAUUUGUUUUCCCAUCUGAUACUUUAAGUUGAUAUACUAUAGUUUCCUUCUUAUUCGAUUCAAAAUUUUUUCUGGUUUUUUUUUUUCCCCCCAUGUGACAUAUGUGAUCUUAGUUCCCAGACCAGGGAUCGAACAUGCGCCCCCUGCAGUGGAAGCUUGGAUCUUAACCGCUAGACCACCAGGGAAAUCCCAGCUCCCAUGCUUGGAUGCAGCCAGCAUGGAACAGAACUACCCUAACAGAAUCUGGGAUGCAAGUUUACCAGAUUUCAGGUUCACUGCCUUCACGUCCCCCCCAAAGAAUCGCUCUUUGUAAAAGCUUGAUUUUUCAGUCCCG